rnacentral:lncRNA from 1 species
GAGAGAGAAGCUCUGCCUUCUCUCUAACUUUCUCAUCUUCUGCUUCACUGUUUCAUCGUCUUCUUCUCUACUGCUUCUGCAUAGGUAAGUAAAUCUGGCAGAGGUUGUUAUGGCAAAGAGGAGAGGUCGCCCAAGGAAAGAUUCAUCGCCUUCUUCUUUAUUGCUUCUGCAUAGGUAAGUAAAUCUAGCAGAGGUUGUUAUGGCAAAGAGAAGAGGUCGCCCAAGGAAAGAUUUAGUACCAAUUUAUGCGAGUGAUGUACCAAAAGCAGUUAACACUGUACCAAUGGUAGGUACCACUGUUUCAUUGAAAUCAGCUGAGAAAACUGUUCCAUGCAGUAAUAGAUCCACAACCAUCUGGAGUCUCCUUGAUACCAACGGCAAAUGUGAGGAUUACAGAGCCUCUCAUCAAUCCAGUAUCUGUUCCGAUGGAGCCUGAGAAUAGAGUUCAGAUCUGCAUGCAACAACCACCACCAAUUGAUGUUCCAAAGGCUGUUUGUGAUGAAGGUCCAAAAUCAGAUCCACCCAAACAGUGGGCUAGUCUUUUCCAGAGUAACCGACUUGCUGCAAAUGGUAUGUCGUUAGAGUAUAUUCCCCCUACACUUGUUAAUGGCAAACCAGUUGGUCAGCUGGUGA